GUGUCAGCAGCCGCGGUAAUACGUAGGGGGCAAGCGUUGUUCGGAAUUACUGGGCGUAAAGCGCGCGUAGGCGGUUUGAAAAGUCAGAUGUGAAAGCCCCGGGCUCAACUUGGGAACUGCAUUUGAUACUGUCAGACUAGAGUACAGAAGAGGUGACUGGAAUUCCCAGUGUAGCGGUGAAAUGCGUAGAUAUUGGGAGGAACACCAGAUGCGAAGGCGGGUCACUGGGCUGAUACUGACGCUGAAGUGCGAAAGCCAGGGGAGCGAACGGGAUUAGAAACCCCGGUAGUCC
rnacentral:rRNA from 1 species